CUUUUUCCCGGUUCCUUCGCCAACCCAAAUUUCUGACUUGAAGAAAAACGCACCCUCCCUACCUCUUCUUCUCUCCUCUCAAAAUUUUAAAUCAAAACAAACUAAGCACAUUUGUCUUCCGAAAGCGCUACCUUCCGAGUCGACUCACUCCUCUCGACCUAAACUCGUCCAUUUUUGACUCGGUCACCACAGCAUGGAGAACCUGAUAACAUUGGUGAACAAGAUACAGAGAGCGUGUACGGCGCUUGGCGACCACGGAGACGAAAGCGCGUUGCCUACCCUUUGGGAUUCCUUGCCCUCCAUCGCAGUCGUUGGUGGUCAAAGUUCUGGAAAGUCAUCUGUGCUGGAGAGUAUCGUUGGAAAAGACUUUUUACCUCGUGGCGCAGGGAUUGUUACAAGGCGGCCUCUCGUCUUGCAACUUCAUAGGAUAGAUGAGGGAAAAGAAUAUGCAGAGUUCAUGCACCUUCCUAGAAAGAAAUUCACCGAUUUUGCUGCGGUCAGGAAGGAGAUUUCUGAUGAGACAGAUCGAGAAACUGGCCGUACCAAACAAAUUUCUAGUGUUCCAAUCCAUCUCAGUAUCUUCUCUCCUAAUGUGGUGAACUUGACAUUGGUUGAUCUCCCUGGACUUACAAAAGUAGCUGUUGAGGGACAACCUGAAAGCAUUGUGCAAGACAUUGAGAAUAUGGUUCGGGCAUUUAUUGAAAAGCCCAACUGUAUCAUACUGGCAAUUUCUCCUGCCAAUCAAGAUCUUGCUACUUCUGAUGCAAUAAAAAUUUCACGUGAGGUUGACCCUAAAGGAGAGAGGACAUUUGGAGUUUUAACGAAGAUUGAUCUGAUGGACCAGGGUACCAAUGCAGUUGAUAUUCUGGAAGGAAAAUCAUAUAAGCUACAGUUUCCAUGGAUUGGUGUUGUUAACCGCUCUCAAGCUGACAUUAACAAGAGUGUUGAUAUGAUUGCUGCUCGUCGUAGAGAGAGAGAAUAUUUUCAAAAUAGCCCGGAGUAUAGUCACCUUGCUAACAGGAUGGGUUCUGAGCACUUAGGAAAGAUGCUUUCUAAGCACUUGGAAAUGGUGAUAAAGUCUCGACUUCCUGGUCUUCAGUCUCUUAUUAGCAAGACUAUAAUUGAUCUGGAGGCAGAACUGAGCCGUCUUGGGAAGCCUAUUGCUGCUGAUGCUGGAGGGAAGUUAUAUAUGAUAAUGGAAAUCUGUCGAGCUUUUGACCAAAACUUUAAAGAACAUCUUGAUGGCGUACGCCCUGGAGGUGAUAAAGUAUAUGGUGUAUUUGAUAACCAACUUCCUGCUGCUUUGAAGAGGUUACAAUUUGAUAAACAUCUUUCAAUGGAUAAUGUGCGCAAGUUAAUUACUGAAGCUGAUGGAUACCAACCACAUCUGAUAGCUCCUGAGCAAGGAUAUCGCCGUCUUAUCGAAUCUUGUUUAGUAUCUAUCAGAGGUCCUGCUGAAGCAGCUGUUGAUGCGGUUCAUUCUAUACUGAAGGAUCUUGUUAACAAGGCUAUGGCCGAGACAAUGGAACUAAAGCAGUAUCCCACUUUGAGAGUGGAAGUAAGGAAUGCUGCUAUUGAAUCAUUGGAAAGACUGAGGGAAGAAAGCAAGAGAGCAACUCUACAGCUAGUUGAUAUGGAAUGUGGUUACCUGACUGUUGAAUUUUUCCGGAAACUUCCUCAAGAUAUUGAGAAGGGUGGAAAUCCUACACAUUCAGUUUUUGAUAGAUAUAAUGAUUCCUAUCUUCGACGAGUUGGUAGCACUGUCCUGUCAUAUGUCAAUAUGACUUGUGCAAGUUUGAGAAACUCUAUUCCAAAGUCAGUUGUCUAUUGUCAAGUCCGCGAGGCCAAACGCAGCUUGCUUGACUUCUUCUUCACUGAACUGGGUAAGAAAGAGACAAAGCAGUUGGCCAAGUUGUUGGAUGAGGAUCCAGCAGUUAUGCAGCGUCGUACCAACCUUGCAAAGAGACUGGAGUUGUACAGGAGCGCCCAAGCAGAGAUCGAUGCAGUUGCCUGGUCGAAGUAGUGGAGAAUGGACUAUUUUCAAAACCUUGCUCUAUUUAUCGGAAGUUGAAUUGAGAUUUAUCUGCAGGAUGAUUCUUUUAUUCAUUGGAAGAGGAGGGUGAACUGCAGAGUUUAUUUGCCACUGCUUUUUAGUUAGGACAUUUAAACCAACACAAAGGAUUCAGUCAGCCGUUAUUGACGUAGUCCCUUUAACAUUUUAUUUGAUAUCAAUUCUCACAUAUUCUGUUUACAUUGUGAUCUACGACGGUUCCUAGCCUUGAAUUGUUCCAGGUUUUCAGGAGAAAAGAGAUCCAUGGAGGUGCGGGGAAUCGAACCCCGUGCCUCUCGCAUGCGAAGCGAGCGCUCUACCAUAUGAGCUACACCCCCUUGGAUGCUGCCAGGCCACCAAGGUUAAAGCAGGUGAUGACUGGGAUCUCUCACACGACAACGUAAGACAUAAAGAAUUCAUCCAGAUUCCAGACCCAUUAAGAAAUCUUUCUUCUUAUGGACAUGCAUUGCAUUCGUUGGCUUACCUCAGUCUGAUCUGCCUGUCAAUUGUUAAUGGAUGCCACGAGCAAAUAUAGUUGUUCUGUGUCAAUCACGACUGCUUUAACUUAGCAUUGACUUGUUAUAGCGAAAACAAAAAAAAAAAUUUCCUUGGAUGUUGAAUUAAUACUAUGGUUGAAUUUGGGUGAUGCUGAUGGCAAUAAGGUAAUGGCAUCUUUUGCAGUGGCAUGUAUUAAAGAUUAACAUCCAGAAAUUGCUACAACAAGAAGGAGCCACCUGGUUGUUUUCACCGCCAUACUCCUCCAUGUGUCCAACUCCAUGGGUAGAGAAUCAAGGUCAAACCCUCUUUGAUGCAGCCAAGACAGGCUUAUAUUAAUGGCAGUUGACAUCACAGA